GAUGAACGCUGGCGGCGUGCCUAAUACAUGCAAGUCGAACGCGAGAGGAGGGAGCUUGCUCCCUCUGAUCGAGUGGCGGACGGGUGAGUAACACGUAGGCAACCUGCCCAUCAGCCGGGGAUAACUGCGGGAAACCGUGGCUAAUACCGGAUAAUCCUCUCCACCGCGGGGUGGGGAGUUGAAAGACGGUUUCGGCUGUCGCUGAUGGAUAGGCCUGCGGCGCAUUAGCUGGUUGGCGGGGUAACGGCCCACCAAGGCAACGAUGCGUAGCCGACCUGAGAGGGUGAUCGGCCACACUGGGACUGAGACACGGCCCAGACUCCUACGGGAGGCAGCAGUAGGGAAUCUUCCGCAAUGGACGCAAGUCUGACGGAGCAACGCCGCGUGAGUGAAGAAGGGUUUCGGCUCGUAAAACUCUGUUGUUAAGGAAGAACGCCAGGUAGAGUAACUGCUACCUGUGUGACGGUACUUAACCAGAAAGCCACGGCUAACUACGUGUCAGCAGCCGCGGUAA
rnacentral:rRNA from 1 species